CCCUUAGAUGUCCUGGGCCGCACGCGCGUUACACUGAUGCAUUCAACGAGCUUAUAACCUUGGCCGAGAGGCCUGGGCAAUCUUGUUAACGUGCAUCGUGAUAGGGAUAGAUUAUUGAAAUUAUUAAUCUUGAACGAGGAAUUCCUAGUAAACGCAGAUCAUCAAUCUGCAUUGAUUACGUCCCUGCCCUUUGUACACACCGCCCGUCGCUACUACCGAUUGAAUGGUUUAGUGAGAUCCUUGGAUCGGCCCCGUCGCGGCUGGCAACGGCCGCGUCGGCGUGUCGAGAAGACGAUCAAACUUGAUCAUUUAGAGGAAGUAAAAGUCGUAACA
rnacentral:rRNA from 1 species